CUUGCUGGGCGGUGGCGCACGCCUUUAACCCCAGCACUCGGGAGGCAGAGCCAGGCGGAUCUCUGUGAGUUCGAGGCCAGCCUGGGAUACCAAAUGAGUUCCAGGACAGCCAGGGCUACACAGAGAAACCCUGUCUC